rnacentral:other from 1 species
GCAGCAGCAGCAACUUGCUGCUGCUGCAGCUGCUCAGCUGCUCCAGCUGCGCUGCUGCAGCAGCAGCAAGGUGCUGCUGCUGCUGCAGCAGCAGCAAGGUGCUGCUGCUGCUGCUGAGCUACCAGCAGCAGCAGCAGCCUGCUGCUGCUGCUGCUGCUCCUGCUGCUGCUGCUGUUGAGCUCCAGCAGCAGCAGCUUCUUGCUGCUGCUGCUCCAGCAGCAGCAGCAGCUGCUGAGCUGCCUGCUGCUGCUGCUACAG